CAUCUCUCUCCUAGGGGCACACUCAGGAGAGCGACCAUACGGCGGUGAUGUCGGAGAGGAGGCCGGUGGCGGCGGAGACCAGGAAAGUAGUUCACUGUCUCGCAGCUCCACUGGGACCAACGUCGUGGUGUCGAGCGGCGAAGACGAGCGGGCUGUGCCGUCUCCGGGGGCGGGCAGAGAACUCGACGACGAGGGCGUCGAGCUUGAGCCAGGCGAGCGGAGGCGGCGCUACGUGCGGCGUGCGGUGAACUCGGCGACGAGAGCAUCGAGCUUGAGUCAGGCGAGCGGAGGCGGCGCUGCGCGCGGCGGGCGGCGAACUCGGCGACGAGGGCAUGUACGCCUCCGACUUGUGCACCAGCAGCUGCUUUGAAAGGAGGCGCUGGUCAACGGAGCGCUGGCGAGGGUGGCCAAUUCACAGGAUCGCGCGGAGAAGGUUGGGGGUGUGAAAGUUUAAGAUGAUGAGCUCGACGUUGCUAUCGUUGGUGGAGGCAUGGUGGGCUUGGCUGUUUGCUUGUCUAGUGUGUAAGUAUUGAUCCCUUCGUGUACUUCUCUUCCUUCGAUUAAAUUGUUCAUGAGGUCAGCUUAGUGUUACGCUUAGGCUGCGAAUCGAUCCCAGCAUUAGUUAUAAAAAGGAAACUCGGCACUAUUGUAAUAAAGUUCUCAGAGAUUCUUCCAGCCAUUUUUACUAGUUCAGUAUGAAGUAUUACUAAUAAUAUUGGUAGAAUGGUAGUUGCAGAGGA